rnacentral:rRNA from 1 species
GAUGAACGCUGGCGGCGUGCCUAAUACAUGCAAGUCGAGCGAACAGACGAGGAGCUUGCCCCUCUGACGUUAGCGGCGGACGGGUGAGUAACACGUGGAUAACCUACCUAUAAGACGGGGAUAACUUCGGGAAACCGGAGCUAAUACCGGAUAAUAUAUUGAACCGCAUGGUUCAAUAGUGAAAGACGGUUUUGCUUUCACUUAUAGAUGGAUCCGCGCCGCAUUAGCUAGUUGGUAAGGUAACGGCUUACCAAGGCGACGAUGCGUAGCCGACCUGAGAGGGUGAUCGGCCACACUGGAACUGAGACACGGUCCAGACUCCUACGGGAGGCAGCAGUAGGGAAUCUUGCGCAAUGGGCGAAAGCCUGACGGAGCAACGCCGCGUGAGUGAUGAAGGUCUUCGGAUCGUAAAACUCUGUUAUUAGGGAAGAACAAAUGUGUAAGUAACUAUGCACGUCUUGACGGUACCUAAUCAGAAAGCCACGGCUAACUACGUG